CCAAUCCCCCUCGCGUCCUGGGAGCGGAGCUUUUCCUCUCUCUGCGGACGCUCUCAGCAGCCCUGCCUGGCCAGGCCAAGCUGGAGAGCACCCGGACCAUUUUCCAGACGGAGAGAUGGAGGCCUGGAAACCGAGCUUGUGAGCAGCCCGGAGCUUUCCAUUGCCUGUCCAGCCUUCCAGAUACAUCCCAGUUCCAGUUCUCUCCAGGGCCCUCUGGGAUCCAGCCAGCCUGCUUCCCCGCCAGGGCCCCGCUGCUUCCAAAGCUACCUCCCAGAAAUUUGGUGGCUGCGUCUGUGCUAUGAUUUGGUGGCUACCUCCUGCAGCUUCAACUCCUCCUCACAACCAGAAGGGCCACAGUCACUAAAAGUGCACCCACGGGGUUACUACCUUUGAUGAGCCUAUGCAGCAUCACUCAGGAAGCCCGUGGUCCUCACAUCACUCUGGCCAGACGCUAACAAGAAAAUGAUCCACUGUGAUGCAGCCGACCCCAUCCGGUGCAUCCACAUUACCUGGAAAGAAGCAAUUAUGCCCCUUUGGUUUCCUUGGAAAUACUUGGUCUGUCUGUAUCAUCCGCCCUGGCUCUUAAGAAAUACCCAUGCACGGUAGAGCUCUGACAGGGAGGCAAUGCGUUUAUUUUCACACUGAAAGUUUACAGAAUACAAAGUGAGCCUGUAAGAUGGAUGGGCACUCUCCAGAGGCUUGUGUGGCCAGACAGGAAGGAAAACCAGUGCACCCUCAGGAACGUGGAGGAAGCUGAAAGAGAGGGACAGACACAUCGGGUUGGAUCAGGCCCCCACAGUCAAAUUCCUGCAAACCCAGCUAGGAGAUUUUCCCGACUAAGGGUUAUGUUCUUGGGACUCAAAGAUGAGAAGAAAAAUCAAUUAAAGAUACUGUGGAUAUGUACACAUUCUGUUGGCAUUAUAAACUGUGACACAUACAUUUUCCAGUCCAUAGAGAACAGACUGCAUCCGCAUAGCAGCACACAUCUAUGGGCUAUUCUAAGACUUUUGUGUUUGGGGACCCCAUGAGUCCCUGUGUCCUCUGGAACAAGCAGGUUUAUUUGGAGUCAGACAUAUCUCAGUUUAAGUCAGAACUCUCUCCUAGUAGAGACGGGGUUUCACCAUGUUGACCAGGAUGGUCUCGAUCUCUUGACCUCGUGAUCCACCUGCCUUGGCCUCCCAAAGUGCUGGGAUUACAGGCUUGAGCCACCGCGCCCGGCCGCCAAAGCCCAGCCUCUCUGCCAGGGAGGACACAGGAGAACAGACGCAGCCUCUGUGUCAGGAGGAGGGAUGUCUGUGGACCCUCUGAGGCCCACAGGGAGAAGCCACACACUCACAGCACCAGAUAUAUUAUCUCUGUUCUCCCACUAGACUUGAAGCUCAAUGAAUGCCAGAACCUUUCUGAGAUCAAAGCACAUAGCAAGUUUUCAGUGAACUCUUGUUAACUUUCCAGUGAAGGAAUAAAUGAAUGACAAAGUGGAAACACUUUGCAGGAACAGGUGAUGCUUCCCAGCAGUGAGAUUCUAAACCAGCGGGAGUUCCAAGCCGGAGACGUGAUCUAAGCGCCGGGGUCUGAAUGUCUGUGAGCAUUGCGAGUCAUUUUAAGGAAAGGCAACGUUAGCGGCACC